rnacentral:rRNA from 1 species
UACGUAGGGUGCGAGCGUUGUCCGGAAUUAUUGGGCGUAAAGAGCUUGUAGGCGGUUUGUCGCGUCUGCCGUGAAAAUCCGGGGCUCAACCCCGGACUUGCGGUGGGUACGGGCAGGCUAGAGUUCGGUAGGGGAGACGUGGAAUUCCUGGUGUAGCGGUGAAAUGCGCAGAUAUCAGGAGGAACACCGAUGGCGAAGGCAGGUCUCUGGGCCACUACUGACGCUGAGAAGCGAAAGCAUGGGGAGCGAACAGG